GGGCAGAGCUCAGCAUGGUUAGAGCAGGAGACUCUUAAUCUCAAGGUCGAGGGUUCAAAUCCCUCUGGGCCCA
rnacentral:tRNA from 1 species